UCCACUUGGUGUCGUAGGAAUGAGCUCGCAACCGCAAAAUAGCUCGCAGAAAGAGGUCCAACUUGCUUACUUUUAAUAUAUUUCACCCAAUGCUAUCAUCUAGUUGUCAUGUUUUGGCUCCAAUACGUGGCACAAAACAUCACGGAAACACUUUUAAUAAUCCAGAGAAGGCUUAAUUUAUAACAAACGAACAGGCAGAUUUUAGGUUCAAUCAGUUCCUGCUUGUUAAGUCUGUUGAUAUGUUAUUUUCUUGCGCGCAAUAUCAACCAUCACAAUAGAUCACAAAUGGACAAGCUAGCACAAAACUAGGCAAAUUAAUGUGGUUUCAUGUUAUGUAUUCCCCAGUGCGCAUGCGCAGUGGACACCAGCGCGACUUAUUUCUGCGAGGAGGUAUUUCUCGCAUGACCGGCAUCCUUGGUUACAUCAUUCAGAAAUUCACUGCACAUCCGCAUUCCUCCACUCUUCCAGGCACCUACCCUCUAAUGGCCUUUGUGCCUCAACGGUGAAUAAAUAAUACACAAGCCUCCACAUAUCAUCUUAUCUAAUAUAAAAAACGAGAGAGGAAACAUGCAACAUCUGUGCAAUACAUUGGACCAAGAAGGAGAGGACGAGGAAGAUGCCAUGAUGGAGCAGGUGCCUCUCCACCUGGCUGAGAGGAAUCUCUUAAUCAGCCAGCACCCAUUCAAAAAACAAGGCCAGACAAGUGGUGACACCAUGGUUCUUCAUACAGUGAAGGAAAAUGGCAUCAUGAGAUAUGUGGCCUUAUUUCCCUCUCCUGAAAAAAUGGAAGUAUUGGAGAAGAGCAGAAAAUUUACAGAAAAUGAGAGUCCUGAGACUUUAGAGGCCCUACAGAAAAUACAUAAACAGGCAAUGGCCCAAAUUGACAUAGAAGCCAAAGCCCAGAACUCUGUUUCACCCUCCACUUCAAGCAGUGGACAUGAAAUAGAAGGCAAAAGUACUACUCCAGUAAUAAAAAGCAACUCUCCAGGGCAAGAAGGCUUCAUGGACACCUUUGAUUGGGACCGUUAUCAUGGCCUGGGUCCCAACUUCACCUUCUCAAAGGAGAGGCACUAUCAGAGAAUGGCAAUGUUUGCACAGAUGCCAGAAUUCCAGUCACCUGCCUAUUUGACAGAUAUCAAACUCCCAUUUGAGAUGAAUGACAGUGAACUCUUUGAUCCAGUAGAGGGCUCAAAUGAAAUUUCAAUGACUGAAGAAUUCCAAAUUACAAUCCCCAAUAAGCACCAAAAACAUAAAUAGUUUAUGAGGACAUCAUUAUAUUAUCACACAUAAUGAAUACGUGAAUAAGGAGCACUAUAGUCUAUCAAUUUUAACUUGAGCCCUUGGGCGUGACUCAGGGAUUCCUCACGAGACUGCGCUGGUGCCACAUCACUCCAUUACUCUCCUCACAGAGGGUCACUACCUCUCUCUUUUGCAUGGCUUUGCUAUGCUUGAAAGUGAGAUCUAGUUGAUUUGUCCAUUGUGUGAGUUGCGUCCAAGAGCUCAAGUUAAAAUCAAUAGACUAUAUAUAGUGUUGUCUUUUUUCUUCUACUCAGUUACCGUCUCUGAAACUGAUGUCUUUGCUUAUUCAUACUGUAAUAACACAAAUUCAUCCAUGUACACCCUGUUUAGUCUCCACUUGCUAAUGUUUCCUAUGUAUUAUUUAUUGUUCAUGAUUAUAGUUUCUUUAAAGACUUUCAUGAUAGUAAUGUUGAAUGGAUUUUGUAUUUCAUAUGGUAUUACUUUAAAAUAAAGCAGUUUAAUCUUGCACUACACUUGGAGAAUAUAACAAUCAUUUAUAACUAUUUUUGCUGGUUUAUUUUUGUAUAGUGUCAAAGCAAUUCACUAUAAAGGAAAAUUGAUACUGCAGUCAUGGCAACAACAUACUUAGUGUUGCCUUCCAUCUGAGGAACUAUAGGGGAAGUGUUGGUAUAAUGGUCAUGUUAAACUUUAAUUAGGUUACAUAAAUUCCAUUAACCAGAGUCACCAGUUAGGUAAGUAAGGUGAUCAGAUAAGGCACAUCAAUGGGAGAUUUGUUCUCAUCACUAUUUAAUGUAUUUGUUGGAAACUGGCUUUAAAGAAACUUAAAGUAGGCAUCAGAAUAGUUGAAAGAGCAGAUACACUUCCCUUCAAUCUCAUUAGAAAGUAAAGGUAAAAAAGUAAAGGGCAUACCUGUUUGCUGCAUAUGCCCCAUAGCUCAUCACUGCAUCAUUGAUGGGUAAGAACUCACUACCCUGGGACACAGGGUAAGUGUGACAUCUCGGUAAGCACAGUCUACCUCCCCAAGGUACACAUUUAUUGACUAGCCAGAACAGGAGGAUGAACCGCUGGUUGAACCUGGUCUUGACUGCCCUGGACCAGUGUUGUGUACGUGUAUGUACAUAGCUGUCCCCUUGUAUGGAGAUUUUUUUUUUUUUUUUUUUUUACAACAAAGGAGGCAGCUCAAGGGCACACACACACAAAAAAAACAAAAAUAAAAAAAAGCCCACUAAUCGCUGCUCCCAUAAAAGAAUCAGAAGAGGUGGCCACAAGCAAGGUCAAAUUCGGGAGGAGAGGUGUCCUGAUACCCUCCUCUUGAAAGAGUUCAAGUCGUAGGCAGGAGGAAAUACAGAUGAAGGAAGAUUGUUCCAGAGUUUACCAGCGUGAGGGAUGAAAGAGUGAAGAUGCUGGUUAACUCUUGCAUAAGGGGUUUGGACAGUAUAGGGAUGAGCAUGAGUAGAAAGUCGUGUGCAACGGGGCCGUGGGAGGAGGGGAGGCACGCAGUUAGCAAGUUCAGAAGAGCAGUCAGCGUGGAAAUAUCGAUAGAAGAUAGAAAGAGAGGCAACAUCACGGCGGAAUUUAAGAGGUAGAAGACUAUCAGUAGGAGGAGGAGAGCUGAUGAGACGAAGAGCCUUAGCCUCCAUUAUGCCCAGAAGAGCUGUGUGGGUGGAGCCCCCCAACACGUGAGAUGCAUACUCCAUACAAGGGCGGACAAGGCCCCUGUAUAUGGAUAGCAACUGCGUGGGGGAGAAGAACUGGCGGAGACGAUACAGAACACCCAACCUCGAGGAAGCUGAUUUAGCGAGAGAGGAGAUAUGAAGUUUCCAGUUGAGAUUUUGAGUUAAGGAUAGACCGAGGAUAUUUAGUGUUGAAGAAGGUGACAGCUGAGUGUUGUUGAAGAAUAGGGGAUAGGUGUUUGGAAGAUUGUGUUGAGUUGAUAGGUGGAGAAAUUGAGUUUUUGAGGCACUGAAGGACACAAGGUUCCUUCUGCCCCAGUCGGAAAUGAUAGCAAAGUCUGAGGUUAAGUGUUCUGCAGCCUCCAGUCUGGAGUCGUGUACUUCCUGUGUUGAUGGUCUUCUAUUCAAAGAAGUUGAAUAAUGCAGAGUGGAGUCGUUGGCGUACGAGUGGACAGGACAGUUUGUUAUGGAAAGAAGAUCAUUGAUGAAUAACAGGAAGAGAGUGGGUGAUAGGACAGAGCCCUGUGGAACGCCACUGUUGAUAGGUUUAGGGGAAAAGCAGUGACCGUCUACCACCGCAGAGAUAGAGCGGCCGGAAAGGAAACUGGAGAUAAAGGAACAGAGAGAGGGAUAGAAUCUGAAAGAGGGCAGUUUAGAAAGCAAAGACUGGUGCCAGACUCUAUCGAAGGCUUUUGAUAUGUCUAGCGCAACAGAGAAAGUUUCCCCGAAACUACUAAGAGAGGAUGACCAAGAGUCAGUUAAGAGAGCAAGAAGAUCGCCAGUAGAACGUCCCUUGCGGAAUCCAUACUGGCGAUCAGAUAGAAGAUUAGAAGUGGAAAGGUGCUUUUGAAUCUUCCGGUUAAUGAUUGAUUCAAAAGCUUUAGAUUGACAUGAAAGUAAAGCUAUUGGGUGGUAGUUUGAGGGAUUGGAGCGGUCACCCUUCUUAGGCACAGGCUGUACAAAGGCAUACUUCCAGCAGGAAGGAAAGAUAGAUGUUGAUAGGCAGAGACGAAAGAGUUUGACCAGGCAGGGUGUCAGCACAAAAGCACAGUUUUUAAGGACAAUAGUAGGCACUCCAUCAGGUCCAUAAGCCUUCUGAGAGUUGAGGCCAGAGAGGGCAUAGAAACAUCAUUAGGAAGAAUCUUAAUAACAGGCAUAAAGGAGUCAGAGGGGGGAUGAGUAGGAGGAAUAUGCCCAGAAUUGUCCUCAUGUGCAGUUUGUGAGAGAUGUCCUCUCACAAACUGCGCAUGCUCAGAAGUUAAUGUUUACAAAGACUUGUUGAUAAACAAAGCUGCAUGCAGGCAUACCCCGAUAACAUGGCUGCAGAUUUACAGAAAAGACUGGCCAAAUUUAGGGAUGAAAUAGGCCCUUUGCAGUAUCCUGUUGAAUGGACAUUAGCCACCAAACCUUACUUACAAAGGAGAAGUUAGGAUAGUUUUGUUCUGAAAUUAGCAAGAUGCUAUUUCCCGUAAUUUACCCCUGAGUAACUGCAUAAAGGCCAAUUAACGGGCCUCCACUUCACUUAUUACAAGACAGAGUACUGUAUUGGAUUAAUGAAUGCUUUUCCUAUGAAAGAAUUUAACAAUGUGCCCUCCCGUAUUUGAAAUCACUGGUGGGGGCAGCCAUAUACAUGCGACCAGCUGCGCACAUGGAUCCGUGUAUAUGGCAGUCCACUUUUUGUUUGUAAACAAAGCAGGAACAGCAAACAAGGGACAGCUAUGUACACAACACUGGGAUCGAACCUGGAUCUGCAUACUUGUAGCUAGCAUGCCAACUACUACAGCGCAAAGCCCCAUGAUACAUACUGUUAUGAACAUUAUAUGAUAUGAUACAAUGAUGUGAAGAGUAUAAUGCCAACUCAACAAUAAUACAAGUGUGAUCCAUAUUUUCUUUAUUCAAAUACAGUAUCAAUACAUAUCCAAUCUUCACUGAUGCAAAAAUAUUAAAACUUCUGUUUAUGCUACAUUCUCCCUCACUGUCCUCACACACAGGCACUUGUCUCAUUGUAGGAAGCAUUCCAUUAUAGAAGGAAGGAGACCAGUUGAUAGACCUAGGAAAAUGUGGAGAAGGUGUAUGCAGGAAGACUUGGCAUUGAUGGGAUUGGAUGAACAUCAGGCAGAAGACAGAGUAGAAUGGAGGAGAGCCAUAAAGCGUCCAAUUGCUCAGGAAGAGUGAAAAUGGACAUAAAAAAAUGAUGAUGAUGAUGAUGAUUUUACUUCUAAAGUGCUGUUGUUCAUAAGUAUAUUCCACAAUGUUCUCUGUCACCUUUAUUAUAGAGGGUCUCCAGGUUCAUGAAGGCAGCACACAACUUUACUCACUAGAAGCAAGUCAAUUAAUGGUUGAUGUCUGAUAGAUGCACCCUCUUCCUUUCUAAAUCAACUUCACCCCUCAUACUGCAGACACCAUCUCUGUUGAACCACUCAUAAAACCCUCCAUGAUACAUUCAAUACACUUAUACUUCUGCAAAUGCAGCAAACUUCCUAUUCUUUUGAACACUAUAACAGCAAGAGCAUUCCUUAAAUCAUUGGGUAUCACUAUUUUCAAACUAGGUUGCACAUUAUGAUGUACUUCACACUUUCAUCUCCAUACCUCAGCUUUUUCUGCAGUAACACCCUCUAUACAUCGUAUCACAACACUAACUAUUCUCAAAGUAGGUCUGAAGAAGAAUAUAAGUAGAACAUGAGUAUGUUUCCUAAUCAGUUGGCAGGGUGAUUAUAAAUAAUGAGAGGAAAGGAUACACUUGAGAAACAAUUAUAUAGUGCAUACUAAAGGUGGUCCGAAUAUUCAUAUUUUCUUAAUCAUGAAUACUCGCAAGUUUUUUUCAUAAUCGCAUUGGCAUUUGCAUUCAUAUGUCAUGCAAAGAUUUUGUAAAUAUUGAAUAUUAAUUUGAUAAACAGGCCUCUUUGAAAAAUAUUCUUAUAACAUACAAAAUAUCUACUACGAAUAUGCUGUGUGUGUGUGUGUGUGUGUGUGUGUGUGUGUGUGUGUGUGUGUGUGUGUGUGUGUGUGUGUGUGUGUGUGUGUGUGUGUGUGUGUGUGUGUGAGAGAGAGAGAGAGAGAGAGAGAGAGAGAGAGAGAGAGAGAGAGAGAGAGAGAGAGAGAGAGAGAGAGAGAGAGAGAGAGAGAGAGAGAGAGAGA